UGGGGAAUCUUGGACAAUGGGCGGAAGCCUGAUCCAGCCAUGCCGCGUGAGUGAAGAAGGCCCUAGGGUCGUAAAGCUCUUUCGCCUGUGAAGAUAAUGACGGUAGCAGGUAAAGAAACCCCGGCUAACUCCGUGCCAGCAGCCGCGGUAAUACGGAGGGGGUUAGCGUUGUUCGGAAUUACUGGGCGUAAAGCGCGCGUAGGCGGACCUUUAAGUCAGGGGUGAAAUCCCGGGGCUCAACCCCGGAACUGCCUUUGAUACUGGGGGUCUUGAGGUCGAGAGAGGUGAGUGGAAUUCCGAGUGUAGAGGUGAAAUUCGUAGAUAUUCGGAGGAACACCAGUGGCGAAGGCGGCUCACUGGCUCGAUACUGACGCUGAGGUGCGAAAGUGUGGGGAGCAAACAGGAUUAGAUACCCCCGUAGUCC
rnacentral:rRNA from 1 species